UUACCCCAUGAUGCUCAGGUCCGCCGCAUCUCCUGGGUCGUGGGGUCGGUCGGCUGGAUUCCGACGUCCGCGGAUUCCUCGUGCCGCAGUCGGAGCCCAGCCGACCCCCUU
rnacentral:sRNA from 20 species